rnacentral:rRNA from 1 species
GACGAACGCUGGCGGCGUGCUUAACACAUGCAAGUCGAACGGAAAGGCCCUGCUUUUGUGGGGUGCUCGAGUGGCGAAAGGGUGAGUAACACGUGAGUAACCUGCCCUUGACUUUGGGAUAACUUCAGGAAACUGGGGCUAAUACCGGAUAGGAGCUCCUGCUGCAUGGUGGGGGUUGGAAAGUUUCGGCGGUUGGGGAUGGACUCGCGGCUUAUCAGCUUGUUGGUGGGGUAGUGGCUUACCAAGGCUUUGACGGGUAGCCGGCCUGAGAGGGUGACCGGCCACAUUGGGACUGAGAUACGGCCCAGACUCCUACGGGAGGCAGCAGUGGGGAAUAGUGCACAAUGGGCGGAAGCCUGAUGCAGCAACGCCGCGUGCGGGAUGACGGCCUUCGGGUUGUAAACCGCUUUCGCCUGUGACGAAGCGUGAGUGACGGUAAUGGGUAAAGAAGCACCGGCUAACUACGUG